UCUAGUUUCCUAACUUGUCUCUUCUUGUAUGGAACCCUGGUAUGCAAGCAAGCUGGGGCAAGGGUGAUCAACAUCUCAGUAUGUUCCAUCUUCCAGGCCUGAGAUGAAACUUCCAACCUACCAGUGUGGGCUACGUAGAUAAAAAACAUACUUACAUUCUCAGCGCUGGCGGGGAAUAAAAAAUGCAGACAGCCUGCCUCUCCUGGGAAGAUACUAUAGACAUGGACCACGGACACAGCAGUCCAGAGUGGAGCUUCUCUUAUGCUGAGAUGGGAUGGUGGCAUGCAGAGUGAGAGUGGCUAUGUUCUUCCUGAGAGCUCCAUCUCAAUGGUCUCCCAUUGGCCACCGCAGGCGCUGCUCUGUAGAUAGUGCUCCUCCAGUCUUCAUCUUAGCACUACUCCUCACACAAAGGUCUGCUUCCAGUUUCACAAAGGAUCCAAGUUCUCUCCCUAAUCAGAGCCUUUCCUUCUGUUAUUUUCUCAGCUACUUUCCUUUAUCAUUGUA
rnacentral:lncRNA from 1 species